rnacentral:lncRNA from 1 species
UUAAGGAAGAACUGGAUUCAAGAAAUAUGGCAAGAAACUACCUUUUUAUUCAUUAGUUCUCAGCCGUUCCAUUGGAAAUCCAAAACAAAACAAAGAGAAAGACCCCAAGCCAAAUACCUCAAUUAAAAAAGAAAAAGAAAAAGGGGGGGUUUUGAGGGGCUUAAUUUAAGUACAACUUUGAAACAAAUGGAAUUCCUAGGAGGGAAGUAAACAACUUAGUAGCCUUUAGGCUUGUAGGCAAUGAAACUAAUGCACUGCACUUGACGAACGUUGUCGAACCCAAUGAUUCUAAUGAAUGCAUUGGGGUAUUCCUUCUUGCAAUUCUCAAGCUCCUCCAACACCUGAGCCGAGUCAGUGCACCCAAACAUGGGCAGUUUCCACAUGGUCCAGUAGCGUCCAUCGUAGUACGUGGGUAAGCUCGAGUACUUACGGUGCACGAAUCCCUCCUGCACAUACAUAUAAAACACAUUUAAUCAAAUCAAAUAUCCCACUAAAAAAAUAAAGUGUUGGAAAGGAAUAAUUUAGAGCUCGAAAACACCUCUAAUUCGAAUUCCAAGCAAGGAAUCCAUUUAGAGCGAAGAAGGUAAUCUACUUCCUUAGCCAACUGUACGGGUGUAAGAUCGGGGAGGUAUGAGAGUGUCUCGAACUUCUUCUUCCCAAGAGGAGGCCACACCUAUACUCAAAAGCCAAGAUAUAUAUUUGAUUCAAUUUAUGUAAUUUGUUGUGUUCAAACAAUUGGGGUAAUUUAAGUUGUAUUUAUGCAUCACCAAGUACCUGCAUGCAUUGCACUCUCCCACCAUUGCUUGCAAGAGAAGUGAUGUCGUUGUUGGCCUUCCUAGUGACUGGGAAAGCAGAGGCAGACUUGAGGCCGGUGAAGGGGGCCACCAUGUUGGCCUGUGCCGGGGAGGAGCAGUUCACGGUGGCAAUGGUUGCCGAUGAGAUCAUGGAGGAGGCCAUUGCUAUUACUGCUUACUAGUACUAUAUGCUACAGUUAUACAAAAGAGUCUCACUGAUCCCUUAAUAGUGUCACUGCCUUGGUGCAAUCCCCUAUAUAUAGUCAUAAAAUUUGGCCUAAGCUCACAACAUUUAGAGAUUGGUUUGGGAGAAAGGGUGACCGUUGGAUCCUAAAUCAGAUGACAUUACAACCAUUAUGACCACAAAGAGGGUGGAAACUUUUCUUGAAUGGUAAAGCCUUAUCUUUGGCAACCUGCCACGUGGAAGAAGCACAGUGAUCUUAUCUCAUUUCAUCCAAUGGAAACCGUGAAUGCCUGAUUUCUCCUUUGUCCCCUCUUCACGGUCCCAUUUGGCCAUUCCCGAUUCAAAAAAAAUCUAUGUCCAUACCUUGUUUGCUUGGUCAUGCUUGCCUUUUGUGUUUUUACCUUUCGCCUUAUCUUCAAAUAUGGUAACUCGGUAACCAAGUGUUAAUUCUUUCAUAUAAUUUUGAUGUCGAUUAUAGGAAUUAAUUGUUAACAUGAGCGCAGCUACAGUUGUAGUGGCAUGAUUUAAAAAAAAAAACUGUUAAAAAGGAGAAGGUAAUAUUAUUCUGACUAGACCUUUCUGAUGAUUAUAAACUGUUGCAGCUAAAAGAUGGAAGCAUUUUUUAGGAUUGGAAUGUAUGAGAGAAUUAAUGGCAAGUUACUGAAACAGGCUCUUACUUCAAGACCCCGCAACAUUGAAAGCCUUCCAACAAAACAAACAGUGAUUUUGGCAAUCAUUAGCAUGCAGUUAUAGAUGGCGCUUUUCUUUUUCCCUUUUUUGUAUUUAAAUACAAACAAAAAGGCUUGUAUCCCCAAAGAAUCUACAACAAGGAUUGGGGAAGAUUCAUAUAUAUGGAUUCCAUGUUUGAUUGCCUUGAGAUGCGAACAGGACCCAGUAAUGUGAGGGGUGAACCUUUGAUAAACGAAAGGAAGUUUGAUGUCACCAUUUUCGAGGAUAUAGUUUUGGAAGAAAAAGGGGGAGAAGAAGGAGAGUUGGCACAAUUUUAUAGUUCUGCAUCAUGACAUGAUUGUCCAUGUUCACUGCAGUGUACAAAUAUUAGGGUAUUACAAAUACAAUUUCCAACUCUGGAAAUAUUUUCUAAAUUUGGAGGUCAAAGUGUGGCCUGUUAGUCUCCUGGAAAACAGAUUAUGAUGAAGCCAACCAUUUUUUUAUAUUAUGCCACACUUGAAAUGCCAAUAAUUAUAUUCAGUAUGUUUGGAGAAAGAAGAAAGGCACACAUUUAUUUACCCACAACCACAGCUAAUUUACACAAGACCAAAAUCCAACGGAUUCCUGUACAAAACAUUAAUACACACUCAAUAAAUAUAACAAUACUAAACUAAAUCUUUUAAUCUUGAAGAUAUGAAUUAUUGAAAGAAAAUGAAUAUUUGAUAAUUACUGAAAAGUUAUAUGUUAGAUAAAAUACUUUAGUGAAUAAAUAUAAAUAUAACUAUUUAUAUUAAAUACAAGAUCUUGAACAAAUAAUAUAAACAAAUAUUUAUAUUCAUGUAAAAACACCAGAUCUAAACAAAACAAAUUAAAUAAAUAUUUAUAUUUAUUUAAAACAUCAUAUCUGAAAAAUAAUUAAAUAAACAAGAUCUUGAAAAAUCAGAAAUCGAAUAAGGGAAUCGAGUUUUACUAGAUGUUGAGGCCUGUUUUCACAGUUUCCAUAAGAUGGAUUCGGCAGUUCCUAGGGUACUUGGAGAAACGUUGGUCGUCUGUCUUCCAGGAUACAACAACAAAAUGAUCGUGGGAGUAGUGCUUCUGCAAUGAUCAAUGAACAAACCUUGCCUUUUUCUAUCACCGAACAUUUGAAAAUUUUGGAGAGAAAAGGAAAAGAAUUUUCGAGAGUGAAAUAAAUUCGUUGUGUAUCUCUAAAAAAUUCUGCAAUAUUCUUUAGGCUUUUUUAGGCAUUCAAUGUAGAGGAAUUUUGGAAAUUUCCAUGAAUAAAGAUACAAAUCUACAUUAAAGGAGCCUUUAAAUCAAUUUGAAUAAAAUAAAAUCAAAUUUGAUUGGAAUCAAAUUAAAACGAGAUAUUUGGCCUUUUAAAACAGAUUUUGUAUAAUAUUUGCUAAGAAAAAAAAAUACAUAUUGGGCUAACAUAUUCGCAGGCCUAAAAGGGCCCGAUCGGUCUAAACAUUUCGCGUUACCCAUGUCAUGCGAGUGCGUCCCCAACCCCGAUGGAUUUGGAUUUGCACCCCUUGAGCACAAGGGAGAGCAUUAGUUUACCAAUAACCAUUUAGUUGGUUUACAUAUAUAUACAAGUUCCACACUUGAUUCCUAAUCAAUGUGGGACUAAUGCUUUUUCAUUUUUUCUUAACAUAAUUCCCAAGUAGCUUACUUUAAGCAUCAAUUUCUCAUUCAUCACUCAACCAUUUUGAACAUAUGAUAUCCCAUUGUAAAGGUCUCAGGGGUAGAACAUUAAAUUAUAAUUUUAUGAUUCAAAACUCCUCAUUUACCAAUCAAAAAUAUGCCUCAAAGAUUUCAAAAAAAAAUCAUAUUUUUCCAACAAUGCCCCACAUGAAUGAAAUUGAUAAUUUUAACGAUAAGCAUUGACUGAAUGGGGUGAUAGAUUCUAUGAUUGAUAGUUGCAUAUGAUAGGUAGACAUCAACUCUUGUACCUUCCCUUGUGAAAGUAUAUUUACUUUACUAGCUAACCAAUAGACUCAAUGUCCUUGAACUAUUCUGCCGUUUGUGUAAAUAAUGAUAUACCUCACACAACUACCUUAUUGGCAAGGUCUUCGUUCUCAUGGGUAUGUUCAUAUGGCCAUGAACAUUUCUUGUGUAACACCCUUCGCCCGUAUCCCUCGUCGAAACAGGGUUCGAGGUGCUACCAGAUUUAAACUCAACCAUUUAUAUAAAACCAGUCCGUAAAAAUUUUUGAUCAAUUUUAAACUUUUCAUACACGCAUAUAUUAUCCUUUAAUCGGGCUUACAAGGCCCCAAAACAUUCAUGAGGCAUUAUUAAAUAUUUACCAAUAUCUUAGUCUUGUAUCAUUUACUUACUCAACAAUGAAUCACAAUUCAAAUUCUAAAUAUACAUGCUAUAAACCACAUCACAGGAGAUAAUAACAUACAAGCAUAUGAAUAAUCAAACUACCUUAAUAAUAAGCCAAAGUCUUUGGCUUAAUCAUAAUAUUACAUACUCAACUUUACAACCCUAUACAUGCCAUAGACUCAGAAUACUAAAAUUUACUUACGCCGAUAGCGUAAACUCGACAAUGUGAUAAUAUCUCUGACGGCCUCCAACCCGAGCUAACCUGGCAACCCUAGGGAAUAUGGGAAAGAAAAGGGGAGUAAGCUUUACGCUUAGUAAGUUCAUAAGAAAAUAAUAAGCAACUUAUUAACAAGUUUUAUCAAUGUUUACAACAUAAUCACAAAUUCACUACAAGUUGUCUUCUUGAGCAAUAGUCACUAAAUUAUUUAUAACUGGAGCUACGAAACUCCAAAUCAAUUGCCGUUAAUUUUCCCUGAAAAUAGACUAAUAUAUCUUCUAUCCAUAGAAUUUUCAGAAUUUUUUGUUUGGCCAAUCAAUACCAGAUUUUUCUUAAAGUUUUCUCUAUUUUACUGUUUGACUAAUCUGACCACUCUUCACUAUGAAUCAAAUUUCUCAUUGUACAGAAUUCAAAAUAUGUUCUCAUUGAUUUCAUUUGAAACUAGACUCAUUAAGGAGUCUAAGAAUAUAAAUUUUAUCUUAUAAAAUUUUUUGUACAAAUUAUAAUGAUUUUCUAAAAACAGAAUAAGGGACCCUAAAGUCAUUUGACUCUGUCCCACGCCACUUCAAAUAUCUCAUUAUUAGCAAUUCUUUUUCUUACAUGGUUUCUUUUAUAAGAAACUAUACUCAUUAAGCUUUAAUUACAUAAUUUAUUCAGCUUCUAACUCAACUCCCACAAUUUAUGUUGAUUUUCCAAAAUCACGUUACUGCUGCUGUCCCAAGCAGAUUUAUUACAAAUUUACUCUUUCACACAUUCUUUGCAUUCAUAUUAUUUAAACAUGUAUAUCACCAAUCAAUUUCAUCACAUAUCUAUAAUUUCACUUAAGCAUAAUCACAAUACAAUACAUCAUGCUCAAUGAUUCGCACACAACCGUUCAAAUUAGCAAUUAUAAGAUGGUUCCGCACAUAGCCCACCCUUAUCGAUAAUUUACGAUGGUUUUACCCUUACUCACAUAUAUGACAUAAGCAUUUAAAUACUUCAGUGUCUACUUUAAUUCAACCAAAUUCAACCAUUGUACCAUUUCAUAACCACAGUUACUUUCGUCAUUCAUAUCUAAAUGGUAUUUCACAUAAUUCAUAUAACCUUUCACCAUGACCGAAUACACACAUACACAUAUGACAUCUUCACCUAUGCUUCUCAUUUCACAUUCGUGAUUCAAUUCCAAUCGAUCUAACAUGUAUAAGUAUAUAUCACAUACCUGGCCAACUUAAUGUAUUGAACGAAUUCAAUUGCCGAUUUAACACAAGGUCUCAUAGUCUUAGACUUUUAUCAAAUCACCGGCAUUUAGCCUGCUAGGUUUUAAACCCGAAUUCAUCACCGGCACGAAGCCUGCUAGAAUUUAAGUCUGAACUCAUUCACCAGCAUUUCGCCUGCUAGGCUUGAAGCCCGAUAUCAUUUCACCGACAUUAUAGCCUGCUAGGCUCGAAGCCCGAUAUUAUCUCACCGGUAUUAUAGCCUGCUAGGCCCAAAGCCCGAUAUUAUCUCACCGGCAUUAUAGCCUGCUAGGCCCGAAGCCCGAAUAUCACAUUUCGAUAAACAAUUCACCUGUUCUUUCAUACUUUCAUAACUUAUACUUCAAUUACGUAUAACUGAAAUACAUAUCUAUGAACAAAGAUUUUCAUCCUCUCAACCACAUAGGGUUUAAUUUCCACAUUGGAACACAUAUCUUAGUACAUCAUUUAAUAGUAUCAAAAUCGACUAGAUAUGCUAGUCACAUACGGCUCAUAACUUUAAUUUAAUAUUCAUUCAAUACAAAGAACAUAUGUAUAUAUAUAUACAAUCAAACAUCUUCUUAAUUAUGAUUAUUCAACUCUUAAGCAUAUAACAUGAUCAAACACAAACACUUAAGAACUUACAUUGGAUUUUAUCGAAUAACUACAGAUUGACUAAUCGACUAGUUUUGCUUUCCCUUUAUCCAAAAUUGGCUCCUUAUGCUCUUGAGCUUGAUUAACAAAUUCAACUUAUCACAUCUCUAUUAUUUAAAACCACAUUUGGCAAUUUAUAAAAUACCAUAAUUAUCACAUCUCAUUCAUCCAAAAUCACAUUCGACACAUAAAAAAAAACAUUGAUAAGUCUCAAAACACAAACAACACUUAUCAAAUUCAUGUAAUUUACACACUUCACAUGGCACUACUACACUCAUUAACCUUACUUUCAUACAACCACUCUUCUUUGACCGAAUGCUAUAACAUCAAGUGCACAUGCUGUUCAUAUAGCCGAAUAUCACUUAACUAAUUAAUUAAAAAUCUUUUAAUACUUAAUUCCACAAGUCCAUUCGGCAUUAGCUCAUCCAACUCAUAUUUUUCAUUGACAACCUCUAUAACUACAAUUUAUUCACAUCCUUAUUCAUGCUACAUUCGGCCAUUAUAAAUAAAAAAAAAUAUAUAAAUAAUUACACAAUGAUCACUUUAGUCGAUUAUAAAAUUCUCAAUUAAAUCACAUAUAUCAUUUACCAGCUCAAACUCCUCCUUUACCUCAUUUCUCUCUUUAAUUCAUAUUCGGCAAUCUUUCUAACCGCUUAAACGAUUAUAGCACAAGGACAUUUUCAAUUCAAUCAAAGAUGAUCUGACAUUUACAAUUUGCAAAUGGUAAUUUCAUUCUAUUUAUCUCAAUUUACUAACAAACCCAACCUUGCAUGGAUUUAAGCACAUUCGGCCAUUAUUUAACAACAAUUCAUUCACAUCAUAAUUCAUGUUCAUAUUCGGUCAUCUAUACCCAUACUAACCGUAUAACUAUUAAAUUCCAAAUUUAAACACAAGUAUAACAUUUUAACACAAUGGCCGAACACUUCAUGAAGUUACCAAAACUCAUCAUUUGCUAUUUCACACACACUCACAUCCAAUCCUUUUUAUUAAACACUCAAAAUCAACCAUCUUCAUGCCUCAUCACAAAAACAUCAAAACACCAACCAAGAAAUACAACAUCCAUGGCCGAAUAUCAUCUCCAUCAAAUAGCAAAAUUUGAACCAUGGGCUAGGUAGAAUUCAAACUAACAACUUAAAAUAAUCAUGAAUUUCAAAGAAUAAUAUCAAUCAUACCUCAAUCUAGUUACAAGCAUAGCCGAACUUCUUAGAAACUUUUCCUUUUCUCUUUUACUUGGUUUUUUAGCUAAGGAAGAACAAAGAUGAACAAACUUUGUUCUUUUCACCCCUUUUUUAUUUCAUAUUAUAAAACAUUUAGUAAUUAUAUUUCUUAUAUAUAUAAAAUGCAUAUAUUACAAAUCAUCAUCAUCAUGGCCGGCCACUAACUUUAAAUUGGACAAUUUGACAUGCAAGUCCUCCCUUUUAAUAAGCCAUGCAUUAUUCGGUCACCUUAUUUCUUCCUAACACAUUCUUCAAGUUUAUCACAUAAGUCAUUUUUCAUAAUUUCACAUUCAAAUGACAAAAUUUAGACAUGAUACUUUCACACAUGAUACUUCACAUAUAAUAAACAUAGAAAAGAGCAUUUAAAUAAUUUUGUGACUUAGUUUUGUGGUCCCGAAACCACUUCCCGACUAGGGUCAAAUUAGAGCUGUCACAUCUUGGUUCUGCAAGAGUUUGAGAGAUGAUCUCCUCGAAGGGGCCCCACUUCGCUCUCACUUAGGUGACUUAUGUUACUCGGCUCUCCGAAACACACAAUCGUCAUUAAGAGCUUUGCUUAACCUAUCUCACUUUAAAUCACUAUUUAUAUCAUAGGAACAGACUUGGAAUAAGAACCCUCAUAGUGACCUCACAAGGCCUAUGCAAUUAGGUUGUCCCUUUGAACCUAGAUCUUGGGAUUCUAGUCAACUAGGUUGGGUUUUCCUUCACAUAGCACCUUUAAUUUCCAUGGACUUUAGUCCCAUUCCUUUCGAUGUUUUAUUAACCUGAUCUCAAUUUAAGCAUUUAGUUAGCAGAUCCACAAUGUUAUCUUUUGAUUUUACACAAUCUAGGCUAACUCGAUGCUCCUUCAACCAAUCCAUGCAAAAAAUAAGAUUGAAUUCACCGAAUGGAAGCUCCAUCAAGUCAGCUGGAAACAACUCUCCCUAAAUUUCUAAAAGAUAUCUCCUAAAAAUUUUAUUCACAUACACAAAUUGUCCUGGGGGACUGAGUAUAGUUAUGUCGCUAGCAUUGUUUUCCACCAGAACUCCGAAUUUGUCAGUCAUAGAGCAGGCAAUAUGAGAGUGAGUUGAUCCUACAUCUACCAAAGCAAAGUAUUGUACAAAAUUUUUUUGUAAAAGUACUUGUGUUAACAUUAGCUGCAUUACCGUUCUCCUGGUGCCUCGCUGUAUAAACCAAGGUGAGCUAUUUAGCAUUAAUGCAGUUCGCACCUUGACUAGUUGUCCUCUGCUUAGUAUUACCAUUUCUGUUUUUACUACACCCCCUUAGAUUCUGAUUCGAUUGGGGUUGCGGUGCUUACCUCUUACCCCUUAUUAGUGGACAAUCCUUAAUCUGUUGCUCCAUGGCCCCACACCUUGAGCAUACUCUCUUGCUUUGUCAACACUUGUAACACCCCUAACCCAUAUCCGUCGCCGAAAUAGGUUAUGAGGCAUUACCGGAUAAUACAUCACAUUCUCAUACAUUUAUGCAUUCAAUAUUAUAAACCAUUCACAAACAUUCACAUUGUCCUUUAAAAGGUUUUACGAGACCUUAAAUCAUGCUUAAAAGUGGUUCGGGACUAAACCGAUCACCUAUAAAAAUUUUCGAACACUUAGAAAAAUUUCAUGAAAUCAAAGGUCACAUGCCUGUGUGCAUAAGCCGUGUGCCUCACACGGCUACCAGACACGCCUGUGUCACAGGCCAUGUGAAAAUAGGGCAUACAUACUGACUUAUACCACACGGCCGAGGACAUGCCCGUGUGCUAGACCGUGUGAAAUUUAAGGGAGGUUAUUGAAUUAGGUCACAUGGCCAACCUCACACCCAUAUGCCAGCCCGUGUUCUACACAUGGCCAGUAGACAUGCCCGUGUGUCUAGGCCAUGUCAAAACUGUAUAGGCAGCCAAACCUAAACCACAUCAAAUUGCAUCAUUUCUAAACAUAUAUAGGCAGCCAAAACAUGCCAAUUCACACACAUACCAUGCUAUUUAUCCACAAUCAUUUCAACUACUCAAUUCCAUAUUCAAACAAACCAAACCAUUAUGCAAAAUUCAUCACAACAUACAUAAGUUCCAAAUACAUUAACUCAUUAUCUUAUCAUCUAUUCCAUAUCACAUAACACAUAACACAUUAUAAUAUCAUCUCAAAAUCAAACCACAUUAUGUCAACUUUUAAGCCAUAUUUCUUCAUCUAUAAACUAUACCAAACAAGCCAACACAUUAGGCAUUAUAAACAUCAUCUAUAUAUCACUUGACAAGCACAUAAUUCAAACCAACUUACAUGGUCAUAUACCAACAUUCACAAGCCAAAUCUCAUGGCUAAAAUCACAACUCAAAACAUAUCAAGAUGAUAAUAGCCUAUACAUGCCAUAUACCAUAUAUACAAAGCUUCUAAAAAUACCAACGAGAUGAUCGAUAGUGCGAUGACGUAUUCCUGAUGAUCCCCGAGUUCGAGCUAGCUUCGAUGAUCUAUAACAACAAGGAAAGAACACAUAAAGUAAGCUUUAAAAGCUUAAUAAGUCAUAUACAAAUAAAAUCAUCAUAUUAAUCACAAAAUUUCCAUUAUUAAGCCAAGUACAAUAUACACAUAUAGAUAUACAAACCUUUCUCAAUAAAAACAUAUUCAUUUUCUCAUGUAAACUCAACAACUACUUUAGUUUCCAAAUCUCAUAUAAAUCUCGUAUAUACCAGAGUCGUUUAACUUAUUAACACAUUCUUUCUCGACUUGUCUUUGCCCACUGAACCAUUCGGAAUUAUUAAGGAUACUCCAAAAUCAUAUAAGCUUGUACAAUGCCAUAUCCCAGAUAUGGUCUUACAUGUUAUCACAUAUCGAUGCCACUAUCUCAGAGAGGGUUUACACGAAAUCGAUUAACGACGCCAACGUCCCAGACAUGGUCUUACACAUAAUCUCAAUACAAUGCCAAUAUCCCAGACAUGGUCUUACUUAUAAUCACAUCUCAAUAACCUAAUGUCAUGACAUUUGUAUCCUAUUCUAUUCCUAAGGUUCGUACGGGACUUUCAGGUAUCUCAAAUCUGUCGAUUCUUGCUCGUAAUUACUUGUUCAACAUUCAUAACAAUUCAAUCAUAAAUAAACAUAUAUAAUUCAAUGUAAAUACAUUUAUUUGAAUAUGUACUUACCUUGUAGUCGAAAUAGAUGAAUUUGAUCGAUUACUUGAUAACUUUCGAUUUCCCUCAAUCUAAAUCUGAUUUCAUUCUUUCAGGAUCUAUAAAAAUUCAAAAUUAACUCUUUUAUUCCUAAAUUCAUUCAAAUUCAUCCAAAGCACAUAAUUUGGGGCAUUUUACACAUUAACCCCUAUAAUUUCACAUUUCUUACAAUUUAGUCCUUAUUUCACAAAAUCACAAAUUACAAAAUUUCUUUCUAAUUUCAUGCUAGCCGAAUUUCAUAUAGCUUCAUAUCAUCCCAUAUUUUCAUUUAUUUCACACUUUUGACCACACAUUUUACACUUUUCACAAAUUAGUCCUUUUUAAGCAAUUUCACUAAAAAUAACUUUACAAAACAUGAUAAUCUAUAAACAAUUACUCAUUUUCCAUCAUCAAACAUUUAAGAAAUCAAACAUUCAUGAAUGGAAAUUUACAAAAUCACCAAAAAAUUCAGAAAUUAGCGUACGGGCUAGCUAGUACUCAAAGCAACGAUAAAAAAAAUGUAAAAAUCAUCAAAAACUAAGCAAAAAACAUACCUCAAUCAAGAUGAACUAUGGAAGAAACCUUAAAGGUCCCAAAACUCUUAUUUUCUUUUGUUUUUUGGUUGGAAUGAAAAAUAUGAACAAAAUUUUAACUUUGUUUUUAUUAAAUUAUGCUUUAUUUAACUAAUUACCAAAAUGUCCUUAUUUAAUAUCAUUUAAAAUCACAUGAUGGAUGGCUAUUCAUGUCAAUAUCCACUAUCAAUGGUCUAAUUACAACAUAAGGACCUUUCAUUUAAUAAGCCAUAGCAAUUAGACACCUUUAUCAAUUAGAUUGCAACUUUUUCAUUUUACGCGAUUAAGUCAUUUUUCUCAAAUUGAGCUAUUAAACGAUAAAAUUAACACAUGAAACUUUCACACAUACUUAUUCACACGCUGUAAACACAUAAAAUAAUAUUAAAAUAAUUUUAUGACCUCGUAUUUGUGGUUCUAAAGCCAUUGUUCCGAUUUAAGCUAAAACUGGGCUGUUACAACACUCCCCACCAUGAGACUUCCCACAGUGAGCAUAAUUGCGACUCUGAUUUCUAUUACUUGCAAUAGCAGGGUACUGACGUGGUCUAUCUUCACGGACCCUCUUCACUGGGCAUGGAUUAGAAUUUCUCAGACUAGAAUCUCUCUUCACUAGAGUCUUGGUCUUAUCUCUUGUAUCUUGCUUAGCCUCUUUCACCUUUUCAAGGAUCUUCACCUUCUCUACUAAAGUUUCGAAGACUCUCUCCUGCAACAUGAAAAAUUGGGCCUUGAGAUCAUACCUCAGCCCAUUCUCAAAUCUAACAUGCUUUUCCUACUCUGAAGCUUCCAUCCCUUGUGCAUACCGGUUCAAUCUCAAGAACUUAGCCUCAUACUCGGAUAUGGUUCGGUCUCUUUGCUUUAAUUUAAUAAAAUCAAGUUUCCGAGCUUCAACAUACCUCGAGCUCACAUAUUUCUUAUAAAAGGCAGUUUGGACAUAAUCCCAAGUUAUCUUCUUUUGUUGGUUACCUUCCAUGAUAGAUUGCCACCAACAAUAUGCCUCAUCUCUCAAAAGAGACACUGUACACUAAAGUUUAUGUUUUAGGGUACAGUAAAAAUGAUCUAAGAUCCUCUCAAUAGAUGCCAUCUAGUACUCAGGUACCGUAAGGGUUGUCCCAGAAACUCCUCUAAAUACUUCAGCUUUAUUCAACUGAAGCCUCUCAGUAAUAGACUUACGACUUUUAGUUCCUAAUUGGCCUCUAACAACCUGCUAUAAAAUCCUCAAUAGUGUUUGGGAAAUUGUACCAUCUAUAGAUUCAUGAUUUUCCUCCUCAUUAACAAAUUCCUCAGGCACAUUACUCACAAUUUCCAUAACAGGAUCAUCCUCGUUGACACUGAGGUUCGGUGUAGGCAAUCGAGCAGUGAAUGACUCUUUUUAGCCAUACAGUGAUGUGCACCACGAGUUCUAACCCUUUGAUUAUUCAUAGUACUUAAAAUUUAUGAAUUAUCUAACAAUUACAAAUGGAAAUUCUACAUUAUCACUUGAAUUUUUUUUAUCAGAGUCUUUACUAUUGAAAAAAAUACUAUCUAAAAUAUCAUAAUCUAAAGUAAGGAGACUUAUCUUGAUCAGCUUCGGAAGUCCCAAAUUUUUAAUUUUUUGGGGUUUAAAAAUCUUAAAUUCAAUAGAAAGAAAGGUUUUCCAAAAAUUCCUUUAAAAUAUUCGUGCAAACCCAUUAAAAUACACAAUUUGAGUUUUGGAUCGGGCUUUGAUAGCAUUAAACGGAACUCCUAAAACCUCACCUAGACGUUAUGGUUGAAUCUUAAAAAUUAUGUUAAACGAUGUACAAAAUUAUUUGUUUACUUGAAAAUAAAGGUUUUGAGUUUGAAACGUAAAAUUUCUAAGAUUGACUAAUUUUAUUUCUUUGAAAAAUAUUUAAUAAAAUUAUUUAUUUUUAAAAGAAAACGUCACUUAAUUGUAAUGUUGUUCACCUAAGACUAUUUAUGAAUUUAGUAAGAAAAAUUGGAUUUUUCAACCUAACGACAAACUCAACUCAACAAUCGUUAUUUCAUACUCAAGACUUUGUUUUUGAAACUUAACACUAUUUUCUCAUUUAACUGAUAUGUUACAAGAUAUGUCAAAAUUACAAUUUCAAAUCAACGAGUGAGAUGUAGCUAAAAUAUUUUUCGCUGUGACUGUUUUGAAACAUGAUGUUUUCUGGAAACCUUCGAAAACUAGAGUUUUCUAAAGAUAAUCGAUUUUGAAAAAUUCUCUCAAAAAGAAAACUUGCAGGUAUUGCUCAGUUUUUCUCAAGAAAAUUAAAAUGAUGAUUUUUUAGUAACAACAUUAUUCGACAGAAAUAGUUAAAUGAUUUUUCAUGCGAUUACCAUGGCCAAUGUGAUCUUCGAGAUUCGGCCAUAACGUCUAGGUCGGGUUUAGAGUGUUACAGUUUCUUAUAGGAUCAAACUCUUGAAUUAUGAUUAAAGAAUAGAAAAAAGAAGGAUAACAAAUAAAGUGAUAAAAGGGAUAUAACUUUCAAACUUGAAACAAACUUAGAAAUUAACCUACGUUAUAUAACAACGAGACUUAAUUUUUAUACAGUUGUUGAAAACUUAAAAAGUUUGGGAAACGAAGAAGAAUUGUGACCCACUAUCUAUACAGAGAUAGGAACCAAUGGUAUAGGGGUGAUCGCCACACUUCGAAAAUAGGUGAGAGGGGAAGUGAUAAGAUUGAAGGUAGUAAACGCCACAAGAAAACAAUUCUUGAUAAGUUCAUUUUUUAAGUUGUUAAAGAACAAAAAAGAUUUAACUCAAAUAUAUAAAAUGUUCAUUAGCCUUGGAAUGUCUACAAUCAAAACUAUUUAUAGGAAAACUACUAAGUUAGAUGAAUGGAAAAAUUUUGGCCAAUAAUAAUUACAUGCAUCAAACCCAUUAAUGAACCAAAGGAGUUCAUGUAUUUCUUCAUACAUUAAAUGAAUAAAAAGGCUUAUGCUUCCCUCCUUAACGUGCAUGCAUCUAAUUGUUCAAUGUAUAUGUAUAUGUGAAUGGUCACAUUCUCUUCCCCCUUGCCGUCCAUGCAUCUACUAGUUUUCAUUCAUGCAUUUACAAGGUUCAACGUAUGCUACAUAAGUCGCAUACAUUCCCCUUAAUCAUACAUGCAUCUUGGUAUUCAUUGAAUCGGCCAAUAUUAAAAAAAAAGUCCCCCAUUGAUGACGCAUGUCUAUGGAGUUUCUUCCCUUUUUGCCAAUGUAUCUUUUUAGUUCAAUGUGUUGCAUUUAAUCUAUUCAUCCUCCCUUGGUCGUACGUGAAUUUAGAGAAGGUGGUGAAAAUCCACAAGGUACAUGUGUGGUAUAAAUAUAGCUAGCUAAUGUACCUAAAUCACAUAUAAAUAGCAACAUAAGAUCAUUUCAACACAAGAAAAAAUACAGGACAUGACAUAAACAUAGAUUAUCACAUAUCUUAACAUACAAAAUAAGAACAAUAGACACAUGAAAAAUGAACAAAAGACAUAAACACUUAAGCUCAAAACACGCAUAAGCAUUAUUAAAACAUAAAAAUAUAAGACACAAAAAAAAUAAAACAUCCAUAAUAGAAAUUAAGUCAGAAACUGAAGUUCUACUACUAAGUGGCUGAAAAAUAUGGCCGGAAUAACCACUUCAAAGAGGUUGCAUUUUAGCUUGUAUUUGGGCUCCUCACGUUUGGACCAAUCUUCAUGUUUGGACCCAACUUGCAUUAUGGGUGUAAAAACCCAAUUUAGCCCUUUAAUUUGUGGCCCAAUAAAGAAGCAAAAUUGAGUCUUAGCCCAAUCAAAGGCCCACGUGGUUAGGCUUACAUCAAAUAGGAAAGAAUAAUCAUAAAGCAUGUACAAAACAUAAGUUAAAUAGAAAUAUAGGCAUAGGUACUGAACUAUGUACAAGGUUUGCCAUACUUGUGCGAAGCCUGGUUCACAAAAACUUAAUGUCAGCUAACUUAAGAAAAACUUAUGUUUUCAGAAACAUAAUCUUAUUCAAUUGUUUGUUCCGUUUGGAUAAGUGAAUCUCAUUAUAAUGCCUUAGAAUGACUCAACGAGUCCUUAUCAUAAGUGCAGAACAAUGCUAAAUACUCCAACAUGUCUUAUUGAAUGGAGCUUAGCUCGAUAUUCCCUUAUCUUUCUAUCCUGUCCCAGGGCUCAAUGCCCAAAACAUAAAACAUAAAGGUGAGUACUCACCAUCCUAUGGCAUGCCAUUAUAUCCAACUGUAACAACUUGUUUUUGGUUAAAUUAGAAUAGUGGUUUCAGGACCAAAAAUUUGAAGUUGAAAUAAUUAUUUUAUUAUUUUAAUCUUUACAGCAUGAUAGUGUGUUUGUGUGGAAGUUUCGUUUAGAAAUUUUAUCGUUUGAGUGUUUAAUUCGAUAAAAAGGACUAAAUUGCGUAAAGUGCAAAACUUUAGUUCUAUUAAUAAAGGUAUCUAAUAGCUAUGGUUUAUUAAAUUGAAGGUCCUUAAGUGGUAAAUAGACCAUUGUUUAAUUGAAUGGACAUUUAUGUGCAUGGUUAGAUGAAUUUUAAAGGUUAAUAUUCAAGGUUAAUAUAGUAAAUUGGUAAAUAUAUGUUAGUAAAAUAAUAAAGAAACAAAUGGUCAUCUUCCUAAGUGUUUAACCAUCGAAAAUUAACCUUAAAAACUCCAUGGAAAGGGUUUGAAGCAUUCUGCCAUAGCUAUCCAUGCAUGUAAGUGUUUUAUUGCUUGAUUUUUAAUGUUUUCUAUGUUUUUGAUAUCGUUGCAGCUUAGUCUAGCUAGCCCAGGGACUAUUCUGCAAAAUUGUUAAAGGUUUAGGAUGUUUCCAUUGACGAAUGAGCAUGUAUUUUAGUGAUUGAUGAUAGAUUAUGAAUGUUUGAUGAUAGUUACACAGGUUUUGUUAAGUGAUUUUUGGUGAAAAUGUAAAUUAGGGAUUAAAUUGAGAAAUGUGGAAAGUUUGUGGGUAAAUUUUAAAAUAAAUAAAAAUUAUGGGCUGAUAUGUGUACUAGAAAAAUUCGGCUAGCAUGGGUUGGUAUCAAAUUGCAUUAAUUUGUGAUUUUAUGAAAUAAGGACUAAAUUGUAAAAGUUGUGAAAUACUUGGGGAAAAAGUGAAAAUGUGCUCUAAUGAGUGUUUUUGGAUUAAAUUGAAUAGAGCUAUAAUUAAAUAAGCUAAAUUUGAUUACAUAUAGAUCAAGAAAAGUGAAAUUCGGAUUUAGAUUGGGGAAAGACAAAGUACUCGACUAAUCGACCUAUUUCAUCGUUUUUGUGAACUGAGGUAAGUUUGUAUGAUUAAUAAGCUUAAUGUUAUAUGUGUUUAUAUGCUUAGAUAUUAUAAUUGUGAUAUUACGACACUAUGGAAUCUAUCGACAAAGCAUUGACACAGUGAGAAUCCUGGUUGAACCUAAGGAAUAAAUAGGACACUAGUGACAUGUCAUUAGGGAUUAUUAUGAUUAUGUGAUCUGGGUACUGGUCCUGUACAUCCUACCGGUGGCUGAGUAUACCAUCAUGGGUUACGGUAACUUGACAGCUUGUGCAAGCAAAAUUGUGUAGCUACAUCUUGACUAACAGCUUGUAUGAGUAGGCCCGUUGAUAGGUCGAGAGUGAGCAAAUAUGUGAUAUGAGAUUGAUAUAGUAUUGGCUAUGUAUGUGGCACUUUGGUGUGAGAUUGCUGAGUAUCUGAUAUUAUUCUGAAUGGUUCAACGGGAAAAGAUGAUAGUACGAGAAUGUAAGCAAUGAUACGGAUCAUUUCAGGUACUCGUGAAAAGUUUGGCAAGCAAGUGAUAAUUGAUAAGUUUAUUCGAAAUGUAAGUGAAAUUUGAUGAAUUUAUACGUGAUACAUAGAAUUAUGGCAAUGUGUAAAUUUUUGAUUUGAAUGAAAUACUUAUGUUACUCAUGUUCUUUAAAUGGUGAAUAAAUAGGCAAAUUAUACUUAUUAAUCAUAUGAGCUUACUAAGCUAUAAAGCUUACUCUGUUUAUUUUUUCGUGUUUUAUAGUGAUUUCAAAGCUAGCUCAGAUUCGGGGAUUGUUGGAGACCUUAUCACACUAUCAAACUAUCAUUUUGGUACUUUUGAAUCUAUUUUUUUGGAAUAUAUUGCAUGUAUAGGAACUUUGGUCACUCUGGUUUAUGAGUUGAUGAUGAAUUUAGCAAUUAGAAUUGGCUUGUAAAUGUCUAAAUUUUGGUCUUGUAUAUAGCCAUGAAAGUUGGCUUAUUUGGUUGGUUUGGUUAUGUAUAUAUAUUUAUGUGUGCAUAUGGCUUAUGUUUUGUGAUUGAGGUUGGCUUUGUGAUGCUUAUUGUUAGUAGGUAUUGUGGUUGUCAAAUGGUUGAUAUUAGAGAAAAUAUAUGCUUGUAAAUUUAAGCAUAAUGAUGCAUGUUUGGAAAUGUUUACUUAGUUGAAUUGUAUAUGUGAAUUAGGUAUAAUGUAAUGACCCAUUUUAUGACUUGUGUAGAUUGUGGAUAACUGAAUUGAGUUGGCAUGAUUUAGGCUUUAUUUAGUUGGUUUGAAUGCCUAUAUAUGCUAAGUUUUGGUGUCAUUUGGUUUGGUGUAGGUGCAUACAAAUUUGGGUAGCAAAAUGGCUUGGUAAAUAGCCUAUUUUUGUCCACACGGGCAAAGACAUGGGCAUGUGUCUCAGUCGUGUAUGAUACACGGUCAGGUUGCACGGCCUUGUGUCCCUUGGUGUUGAAUUAAAAACCAAGUCAGUAUGCUCCACACGGCCUAGCACACAGUGUGUGAUUGGCCGUGUGGCUUAAGUCAGUAUACCCUACAGAUUGGAACGACCUAGCACACGGCCUAGCACACGGGCAUAUGUGGCCAUUUUUUUGGGCAUAUGGGCUAGUCACACGGGUGUGUGUGUUGGCUGUGUGACCCAAGUUAGAGAGUUACACAGGGUCGGACACAGGCUAGGACACGGCCAUGUGCUCCAAUUUCAAAUGUCCACAUGGCCUGUGACACUGGCGUGUCUUUGGCCGUGUGAGACACACGGCCGGGCCACACGGUAUGUGUCCCCUAUUUUUGGAAAUUUUUUUUAAGUGUUUGAGAAGUUUCUAAAGUUAUCGGUUUAGUCCUGAACCACUCUGAAUGCAUAUUUUGGGCCUCAUAGGCUCGUAUUAGGGACGAUAUGAAUGUUGUUGAUUGAUGACUAUAUGAAAUUUGAAAAUGUAUGUAAAAUGUAUGUGUGAUUGUAUGAUAUGUUCAGUAAUGCUCCGUAACCCUAUUUUAAUUGUAUGAUAUGUCCGGUAAUGCUCCGUAACCCUAUUUUGGCAUUGAAUACGGGUGAAGGGUGUUACACCUACAGAUUCAGAAGGUUACCUUGUCAAAUCAUUUACUUAACAUAGAGUUUGCAAAGCACGAAGUCAUAUGGAGCUCACCAUAUAGAGCUAACAUAUCACUGUUCAUAAAAAUACAUAUUUGAAUACAUUCAUCAAACAAAGUUAUAGAAAAGACUUACUCUCAAAAAUUAGGUCAAAACCCUAAGCUCCUAAUUAACAUUAUGAUCCACAAUACAAGUGGCGAUGCUUGAACACUCACCAAUUUGCUGAGAACUUAGGGAAGCUUAGCUUUUCCCUUAUCUCUACUUGUAGACAGUUUUGUUUGGGUUCGCAAUUGUAACAUCCUGAAGUAGAGCUGAGAAUUAUUAAGCCAGAUGAGCUGGGUUCGCCAAGGAGUUUGGCAAACAGGAAAUUGCCCAAGAGUGUGACGAAUAGGUACUCGUCAAUAAGAUCAUUGAAUAAGGGUUUGCCAGAGGAAAUGAUAAGCAUGUAUACGACAUUAGAUUUGCGAAUAGGUGUGUAAGAACCCAUUUUUCAGUGGUUUUUGACGAGUAAGGUUGUAAAAUUAGUAUUUAAAUUAUACGAGUCAAUAAUAAUUUUUAUAUUGAAUUUUUAUUUAUUGAAUUUUAAUCAGUUGAAUUAAUUGUUAGUAUAAGGGGUUCAGUCCAAAAUCAAGUGGUUUUUGAAAAUGAGGUAUUGGGACCCAUGUCCGUAACUUAAACUUGUAAAUAUUUUUAUUAAAUGUUUAUAGAGUCGUAUUAUAGGGGAAUUGAGGUUUGGUCCAAUAAUUUUGACAAUUGGUUCUUAAUUAAGGUAAAAGGAUUAAAUUGUAAAAUGGUAAAAGUUAAUCGCUAUAGAUUUAAAUUAGUAAAGAGACCAAAAUCAUGAUUAAACCAUGAUAAAAAAAGUCCAAGAAGUGGUGGAUAUGAUUAAUCCACUAGCUUUUAGGCUAUUUGCUCGUUUAGUCCUAAGUAGUUUAGGGUUAAAUUGAAAUUAAGCUUGUUUAGUUAAAAUUGUAAAAUAAUUGAAGGACCAAUUAUGCAGUUAAACCCCUUUAGAUGGUAAUUAUACCAUAUUCUCAUUUGAUGGACAAAUAUGGACAUGUUUUAUUUAUUUUUAUAAGUCAUAAUGUAAAGGUUAAAAUUGUAAAUUAAGUAAAUAAAAGGUUAAAUUAAAAGAAUACUAAAUUAGGUUAUCAUCUUCCAUUCUUUUCUUAUGGAAAAAAAAUGGCCAUUUUUAUGGGAGAAGAAAGUUUUGGUCAAGCUAGGGUUAUGGUAUGUAAGUGAUCCUUUAUCUUGUUUUUAGUAAUUUUAUGUUUUUGAGCUCGUAUUAGCUUGAUUUAGCUAACCUGGAGAAUAAUUUGUAAAACUGUUAAAUGUUAUAGAUAUUCCAUUGAUGAGUUUGAGUUGUUCUUGAAGUUUUAUGGUAGAUUAUUAAGCUUGGUUGUUAAAUAGGAUUAUUUUGUAAAGUAGUUUUUAGUAAUUUUAAUGUUUAAGGACUAAAAUGUUACAGUGAUAAAAUUACAAGGAAUUGAUGUGAAAUAACAGAAAAUAUGUGUUGUCGUAGAGUGCUAUACAAUUCAACUGAACUUAGUUUUAGUUAAAAUUGGUUAAAUUGCAAGUUUUGAGCUUAGCGACUAAAUUGCAUAAAAGUAAAAUGUUGGGGGUGAUUUUGUAAAAUUGUCUAAGAAGGCUUAAUUACAUAAAAUGAGUUAAUUUCACUAUUGGAAUUAGUUAAUUGAUUGAAAUUAUUUAUCUAGAUCAAGAAUGGGUUGAAAAUCGAGGCAUAGAAAAGUUGAAUAGUCUUUGUACCUUUGUCAUCGUUGUAGUUUAGUCUGGUAAGUUCGUUUGGUUCGAUUUUAAUACAUUUUAAAUGUAUAUUAUAUGAACUUAAUUGUACAAUGAUGGAUAAUACUUAUGCAUGUAUUUGGGAAUGAAAGUAAUGAAUUGAUACGGUAUCGAUCACUGAUUGGAAUAUUCUGAGCCGAUGAAUAUAGGAUAGAGUAAGAUUGGCAUGCCAAUAGGUUGUUUUGCGUAUUGGACGAGAUUGGUAUGAGAUGUGAUGGUGAUUUUUGUAUAUCCUCUAUUCAUUGAAUAUACUGAGGUCCUGCAUACGUUGUAGAUUAUCUUGUUUUAUUAGAAUGUUUUUCUAGUGUGUUAUAGGGGCAGAUGUUAGCCUACGGGCUAGACACUUAGUGCCGAGGUGUAUUAUUGAUUGGAUUGGCUCGUAUGAGUGUCUGGUGUGUUCUGGAUGGUUAAACGUGUACUCCUAUCCAUAUAACAUUCACCGAGCAAUGUUUUAUUGAUCAUUGAGUGUUAUUUAAAUGUGAAAUUGAUUUGUAUUAUUGUUUGAACAUUACUCACUUGUUUUGAGUUAUGAUUGACAGGAACUCUAUUAGUAACCUUGUUAUUUGAAUUAUUAUUUUAAUUCAAUAAACUUUAUUAUUUAAUCUAUGAACUUACUAAGCUUUAUGUAAGCUUACUCCUGUCCUUGUCUUUUUCUUUGUAGAUUAUAUUUUUUUUUGAAAAUCAGGAGAUCGAAUCAACUCGAAGAAUCACACUAUUCGAGAACCUUUUGGUAUACUUUGAGUGUGACCUUGGCUUAUAGGCAUGUAAUAGGCUAAUGGUGGAUGUUUUGUGAUAGUCUUAAGCAUAUAUGUGGUAGCUUGAUGUACUUGUAAUAUUGUUGUGUCAAGUAGCUAUUUGCGGCAUGUAUGCUUAAUUCUAGUGAAGGCAUGAGUGGUUGAUGCUAAUCAAGCAUGAAUUGGUAAGUUAUUUUAUUUGAUGUGGUAUGCAUGGAUGGCUUGAAAUUUUACCUUGAUAAUUUUUUAUUAUGUGAUUGAAAUAUUGUGUCAAUGGUGGCACAUUGGUUAGACACAUAGGAUGGUCGAUUAACUUGAUUUGAGUGGUUUAAAAUGCAUUCCAAAUUCUUAUGAACAUGUGUGUAAGUGUAUAAUUAGGCACCUAAGCAAUUGGAUGUGAAAUGGGCAAGUUUUGGGUUAUUUUUGGCACACAUGGGUUAGGAUACGGGCUAUCACACUGUCGUGUGUAACACACGAGUGUAUGCCCCAAACGUGUUAGGUGUAGGGUUCACACAAGCUGACACAUGACCUGCGACACGGCUGUGUAACCCAAGUCAAUGAGUUACAUGGGUGGACACAUGAGUGAGCACACGGGCAUGUGGGAUAGCCAGAUGGCCCUGGUUGGAGCCACACAAUCUGGGCUAUAACAGCCCAUUUUUCUGUAAAAUCGUAACAGUGGUUUUGAGACCACAAAUCUGAUCCGAAAAUAAAGUUGAUUUUUAUUUUAUAAUAUGGUCUGUUUUAUGAUAGACAUGUUGUGUGAAAAUUUUGAUUCGAAAAUUUUAUCGAUUAAGUGUUUAAUUACGAGGACUAAAUCGCAUAAAUGAAAAAGUUGAAUUCUAGUAGCUGUAAGGAUUAAAUAGCUAUGGAAUUCAAAACUAGAGGUCCUUAUAUGGUAAUUAGACCAUUGAAGAAAACUAUGUUGUUUUUUGGUGUCUCAUCCAUGGAAAAAUUAGAAAAGAAUAGGGACUAAAUUGGAAAUUAAAAUAUUUAAUUAAUUAAAAAGAUGAUAAAAGAUACCAUCUUAUUAUUUUUGUCAUCUUCAACCCCAAAAUUAUAUGGAAACCCUAGGAGAGAGAGAAGAAACUUUCAAGGCUUAAUUGGGUAAGUUUCAUUGUCCCGUUUUUAGUAAUUUUGAUAUUUUUGAAACCGGAAUAGCUUAAACUAUCUAUUUUGGGGGAUUAAUUUAAAAAGUUAUCAAAGUAAGGAAAAUGGGUCAUGGAUGUAUAUGCUGAAAAUUAGAAAUUUAAGGUAGAAAAUGAAAGGUUGUUGAUAAAUCAACAACUUUUACAAAGUGAUUUUUGAUGAAAACAUGAUUUAGGGACUAAAAUGUAAACUUGUGAAAUUGAAAAAAAAUGUUGAAUUUUUAUGAAUACAUGUGCUGUAAAUUUUUUUAUGGGAUUUUUGGUUAGGCUUGGAAUAGGGAGUAAAUUGCAUAAGUUUCAUUUUCCGAGCCUAGGGAUGAAAUUAGAAUUUAUGGAAAAGUUAGGGGCAAAAUGGUAAUUUUUCCUAGGGCGUAAAUUGAGUUCAAAUAAUUAUGAAAUAUGAGAAAUUGAUGAUUGAAGCUAUUUAUAUAGAUCUGGACAACACAAAUUCAAGGUUAGACCGAGGAAAAGAAAAUGUUUCGAAUUAGUAGAUUUUAUAUGCGAACAAGUGUUAAUUGAAUGUUAUGCUUGUAUGUAAUGUGACUUACAUUGAAAUGCAUUACUUGAAUGCUAUAAUGGACAAUCUAAUGCAUGCUUGAAAUGGUGAAAAAGGGGUUAAGUCCCGAUUAAAUAUUGAAUUUCGAUGAAUAUAUAUGCUUCUCGAAAUGGAUGAGGUCCUGCAUUUGUUGCGGACGGGAUUUAACUCGGACGAGUAUUCCUAUUGACCUCAUUAUAGAAAUGAUUUAGCUCGGACGAGUAAUCCUGAUAUAAUACUUCUCGACUAUACAUUAUGAUUUGGGUUUAGCCUGGACUGGUAAUUCUAAUUUAGCUCUUCUAAGCAUACGUUAUAUAAAGGAUUUAGCCUGGACUGGUAAUCCUAUUAUACGAUAUGUAGCUCGAGAGUGUGUUCCUUAAUUAAAUGCCCUAAUGGGUACUCUUGAAUAUGAAUUGAUGAAUUAUUAAAUCGUAUACUUUGGGUGUACUACUUGAACAUCCAUCGGAAUUUCAAUGAUUCAAUGGACACGACUCUUGACAUGGUAUGAGAAUUUUUGAGAUGAAAUGAUAAUGACUUGAAAGAAUAUUGCAUGAUGAGCUCAUCUAUGUUUACUUGAUUGAUAUGAAGAUUUUGGUGACUAACAUAUUUGAUUGAAUGCAUGUGGUUAGGCAAUUUUGCUAAUGGAUGGAAAAACAUGAUAUUGUAUGCUUAGGUUUAAUAAACAGGAUUGGUAAGUUUAGUUUCCGUUAUACGAACUUACUAAGCAUGUAAUGCUUACUCCAUUUUAUUUUUCCCUAUUUUAUAGUACUCGAAAGCUCGCGAAGGUUGGAGAUCAUUGGAGCAUCAUCACACUAUCCACUAGCUUAUUUUGGGUUUACAUAUAGUAGAAUCAUUUUGGUAUAAUGGCAUGUAUAGGACAACUUGACCAUUAGUGGCUUGAAAAUGAUGUUUUUAAUCUAGCCAUUGGAAUGGCUAGUAAUUGUUGUUUUGAUAUACUUGUAAUGUCAUGCAAUGGUAGCUAAAUAUAUGUUAAGUGGUUGUUCAAAUUAUGCCUAACAUAUGGAAUAUACCGAUGUAAGAUUAUAAACAUAUAUGCAUGUAAUGAUAUGCCUUGUUGAAUGGUGGAAUUUUCUUAAUUUGAAUAUUUGAAUUGGUUGGUAUUUGGAUGUGUGUUUUAGUGCAGGAAAAUAGUAAAAUUGGGUGACAAAUGAGGCUAGGAAAUGGAUUUAUUUUGUCCACAUGGGCAGAUACAUAGGCGUGUGUCUAGACCGUGUGUGACACAUGGCUUGGUAACAUGGGCGUGUAGUUAGGCCUUGUGUCCCUUGCACCUUAAUUUUGAGAAACAAAAUGCUCAGAAUUGAGCACACGGGCAAAGACACGGACGUGUGUCUCAGUCGUGUGUGCUACACGGCCUAGAACACGAGUGUGUGUCUUGGCCGUGUGAAACCUGCACCUAAUUUCAAAUUAAAUUAAUUAACCACAUGGCCUAGCACAAGGGCGUAUGGCAUGGACGUGUGUACAAGUCAGAGAGUUACAUGGGGUCGAACACGGCCUAUAGUACGGGCGUGUCCCAGGGUCACACGGGCGUCUUCCUUGGACCACACGGGUGUGUGAGCCCUGCAACUUGGAAAAUUGUUGUAAUUUCACGAAAAAUUCUUAGAGCUCCUGAUUAAGUCCCAACUCGAUUCUAAUGCUUAUAUUGGGCCUCGAGGGUCUAAUUAAGGAACGUUUUGUAUGAUCUCAGUUAAUAAAUAGUAAUUUACAUAAAUUAUUGUAAAAUGUUCUGAAUGUUUUGGUAAUACUUUAAAACCCUAUUCCGAUGACGGAUACAGGUUAGGGGUGUUACAUGGGCUCUAUCACCCAACUGUGUGACUCCUAUUUUCAAACUUUUCAUAUUUGCCCCAAAUCUUUUGAUUUGUAUCAAAUUGGUCCCUAAUUGUUCCAAAACUAUUUUUGAGGCCUUAUAGCUUGGAUUUAAGGCCCAUAAAUGUUUGUUUCACUUUAAUUUAAAUGUAAUGAAAAUUUGAUAAUUAAAUUGUAAAAUUGAUACUUUGUGAUACUGAAUGUUCUGAAUUGUACACUAAUACUCUGUAACCUUAAUCCAAUGACAAAGACGGGUUAGGAGUGUGAUAAGGUGUAUGACCAGCAAGUUCGAUGAGCUAAAGUAUGCUAAUAAGCUUGGCUAGUAGGAGUUUUCUAGAAGGCUGAGUGAGCUGGAGUAUGCUAAAGAAUUUAAGGAACUUAGAUUGCUAGUAGGCUUGGCAAAACGGGGAUCACCAGUGGGUCAGUGAACUACAAUUUUUGGCUAUGAGUCAUAAGUAAGAAAAGUCAAAGUAGAGUCAUGCCUCGGUUAGGAAAGUUAGCUUGCUUUUCUCUUUGCAACACUAUCCAUGCAUGUAAUUAAAUUUUACUUCUAUUACGAUUAGAGUAUCAUAAGGACAUUAGGACACGUAGAGCCUAUAAUGUCCUUUCCAAUAAGGGAAUUUCAUUUGCUAUUCUCCUAAAUUUACUAUCAAUCAUUCUAUCGGUAAGUCCUAAGAUCCCAGCACUUAGAAAUCAAGAACCAUCAACAAGAAAAGUCAAGGGAAUAACAAAGCUUGUGAAUAAAGCCAAAAUACACUUCGCACUUAAGGGGGGUAACCUUGUGAACUGGUGAAGGGAUGAAAAUUAUUAUGGUUGGUGAGCAAACUCAAUUCUUGUCCAAUAUGGUCUUGGCAAUUAGGGUAGAGAAGUUGAUAAGGAAAGUCUGCGAAGCCUACCUUGCUUAUGUGGUGGGUUCACCAAGUAAACCGAUAGGAGUUUUCAACAUUCGCACGGUGAAAGACAAUCCUGAUGUAUUUCCAGAAGAGCAACUUGGAAUACCCCCAGGCUGCAAAAUGGAAUCCUCCAUUGAGUUAUACCUAGAUAGUUCGCCAAUGUCCAUUACACCUUAUCGAAUGGCACCAAAAGAGAUUAAAGAAAUGAAAAUCAAACUAUAAGAGUUGCUCGAUAGGGGUUUCAUUUGACCAAGUGUGUCGCCGUGGGGAUCACCAGUAUUGUUUGUAAAGAAGAAAAAUGAGAACUUCAGAAUCUGUAUUGACUAUAGAUUGUUGAAUAAAUUGACUACUUGUUCAAUUAGCUGCAAGGUGCCACGGUAUUUCCAAAGAUAGUCUUAGAAUCAUGGUACUACUAGCUUAAGGUUAAGGAAGCAAAUGUUUAGAAGAUAGCUUUUUACACAAGGUAUGGGCAUUAGGAAUUCCUAGUUAUGCUCUUUAAAUUGAAAAAUGCACCUACUGCAUUCAUGGACUUAAUGAAUUGAGUGUUCCACAUG